GUGCCAGCAGCCGCGGUAAUACGUAGGGGGCGAGCGUUGUCCGGAAUCAUUGGGCGUAAAGAGCGUGUAGGCGGCCCGGUAAGUCUGCUGUGAAAACCCGGGGCUCAACCCCGGGCGUGCAGUGGAAACUGCCGGGCUAGAGGGCGGCAGAGGCGAGUGGAAUUCCCGGUGUAGCGGUGAAAUGCGCAGAUAUCGGGAGGAACACCAGUAGCGAAGGCGGCUCGCUGGGCCGUUCCUGACGCUGAGACGCGAAAGCUAGGGGAGCGAACAGGAUUAGAUACCCUGGUAGUCC
rnacentral:rRNA from 1 species